UGGGGAAUAUUGCACAAUGGGCGCAAGCCUGAUGCAGCCAUGCCGCGUGUGUGAAGAAGGCCUUCGGGUUGUAAAGUACUUUCAGCGGGGAGGAAGGGAGUAAAGUUAAUACCUUUGCUCAUUGACGUUACCCGCAGAAGAAGCACCGGCUAACUCCGUGCCAGCAGCCGCGGUAAUACGGAGGGUGCAAGCGUUAAUCGGAAUUACUGGGCGUAAAGCGCACGCAGGCGGUUUGUUAAGUCAGAUGUGAAAUCCCCGGGCUCAACCUGGGAACUGCAUCUGAUACUGGAAAGCUUGAGUCUCGUAGAGGGGGGUAGAAUUCCAGGUGUAGCGGUGAAAUGCGUAGAGAUCUGGAGGAAUACCGGUGGCGAAGGCGGCCCCCUGGACGAAGACUGACGCUCAGGUGCGAAAGCGUGGGGAGCAAACAGG
rnacentral:rRNA from 1 species